AACGAACGCUGGCGGCGUGCUUAACACAUGCAAGUCGAACGAGAAAGUCCCCGCAAGGGGGUGAGUAAAGUGGCGAACGGGGGAGUAACACGUAGGUAAUCUGCCCUUCAGUCGGGGAUAACUUCGCGAAAGCGGGGCUAAUACCAGAUGAUAUCCGGGAGGCGCAUGCUUCCCAGAUCAAAGGUGGCCUCUGACUCAAGCUAUCACUGAAGCAUGAGCCUGCGGCUGAUUAGCUUGUUGGUAGGGUAACGGCCUACCAAGGCUGCGAUCAGUAGCCGGCCUGAGAGGGUGAUCGGCCACACUGGAACUGAAACACGGUCCAGACUCCUACGGGAGGCAGCAGUGGGGAAUAUUGCGCAAUGGGCGAAAGCCUGACGCAGCAACGCCGCGUGGGUGAUGAAGGCCUUCGGGUUGUAAAGCCCUGUCAGGUGGAACGAAUCUCUCUUGAGCGAAUAACUCGGGAGAAUGACGGUACCACCAGAGGAAGCCCCGGCAAACUACGUGCCAGCCGCCGCGGUAAUAC
rnacentral:rRNA from 1 species